UGAACGCUAGCGACAGGCCUAACACAUGCAAGUCGAGGGGCAGCGCGGAGAAGCUUGCUUUCCUGGCGGCGACCGGCGCACGGGUGCGUAACAGGUGUGCAAUCUGUCCAUAGUCGGGGGAUAGCCCAGCGAAAGCUGAAUUAACACUCCAUGUGAAUCGAAGCCGCAUGACUUUGAUUUGAAACGCAAGGACUAUGGGUGAGCACGCUUCUGAUUAGCUAGUUGGUGGGGUAACGGCUCACCAAGGCGACGAUCAGUAGGGGUUCUGAGAGGAAGGUCCCCCACAUUGGAACUGAGACACGGUCCAAACUCCUACGGGAGGCAGCAGUGAGGAAUAUUGGUCAAUGGGCGAGAGCCUGAACCAGCCAAGUCGCCGUGAAGGAUGAAGGUUCUAUGGAUUGUAAACUUCUUUUGUCCGAGGGUAAAAAAGGCCACGUGUGGCUUCUUGCAAGUAUCGGACGAAUAAGCAUCGGCUAACUCCGUGCCAGCCGCGGC
rnacentral:rRNA from 1 species